rnacentral:lncRNA from 1 species
CCCUAGUUAAUGAGUUUUUGAGUUUCUAAACUUUGAAUAAUAUUUCAUUUUGGUCAUUAACUUAGGGUAAAAUAUAUUAUAUAAAUCUAAUUCAUUUAUGUGUGUCAUACGUCAUAAAUUCAUUGAUUGUUCAUUAGCCUCUUAUUUUCAAUUUGAUGGUUCAAUUUAUACAUUGAGAAAAGUUGUAACUCAAUAAGCGAUAAGGUUGAAAGUUGAGAUGUAGAAAGGCUAGGUAAUAAUUUACCCCUCCUUAUAAAGCAUGCACAAAAAAGUUAAGAACAUAACUUUUUAAGUGUUUAGAGAGUACUAAAGUAGCACUUAAAAGUAAAAAUUUAAGAAUUAAAAUAAAACUCGGGUCAAAAGCUCAAGAACUAGUGUUUCAAUUUACCCCAUUGGAGAAUGCUAUGCUAUAUGGAAUUUGUGUUGCAUGGUUGGAUUUUGAAGCUACUCUUUUACCCACAUAUAGGGAUGUAAAGCGGCACGGCCUCGAACUGGGCUACAGGAUGGCACGGGUGUUGUAGCACCCGUGCCGUCCCGAUUGGGCCUGAGCUUCAGGACCGUGCUGGACCUCCCCCUUUGGACCCGACGGUCUGGCCCGACAUGACCGGCUUGUGCCGUGCCAGCUAGGCCAACACAACUUGAACCCCAAAACCCAAGGCAACUUGCCUUGGUCCUUAAGGCUUGAGCUCUUGGUGAGCUCUCCUCCCAAGGUGUGCCACUGGUCCACGGCAAAACCUUGGGAGGAGGUUGUUGGUCCAAUGCAUCACGGGGUUAGCUUUUUCGCCUCGAAAAUCCCCGCGCGGCGCUCAAAUGUCGCACACCCGAGCCAGCCUUCUCGAGUCCUUUACACGGACAAGUCUCCCAGACUUAACAGCGGAAUACCAAUACAAGCAUUUUGCCAAACUUGCUCCUCCCCGAGACUUAUAGCCCGGUCCCUCGCCUGUAAUCGAACCCCUCGUCGGACUCCUCGAGUUCCCGACGAGCAACCCCAAUACCGAGGUUGGCCACCAAGCUAGGUGCAUCCUGUUUUGUCAACCAAACCCUCCUCGAGAGUGCUCUGUAGCCGAAUGUCUUGUUGCCUUUCUCGCCAGCCCAAGGACAUUACAAGUUCUCCCCCAACUUGUACAAUAUGAGUAUAGCCGAGCGUCUCGCCUCCCACGCGUCUCGCUCCCGCUACUCAACCCGCACGCCUCUAGCGUCGAGGUCCGGGCUUCGCGACAUCGCAUGCCACGAAGGGCACUCAUAACCAUAAGUUCCUCACCAUCGCGUCUCCCGCGCCUGACAACGCCCAUGGCCAUACCGCCUACGCGGCCUGCUCGCUCGGUCCAACGGCUUACCUCCGAAAAGCCACCCAAGUGUGCGCCACAAGCUUGCUUGCCCCAACAUCAGCGCCUCGACGUGGCACCACGCACGUCCGUGCUUCGCAUUCGACCCGUGUGGCCCUCGUGCCCCAUCGCUCCUGAAUAGGGAACCAACAAGUCCACACCGUGCUUCUCGACCGUCUUAACGACCCUCGCUUUGCCACGGCGCUCCGCGCCCUCGACUCCCAUAGGUUCGCCUCAUAAGGCCCCAUACAAACGAACCGGCCUCGCUCCGCAUCGCUAGCCACUGGCCCCUCCUUGGCUCGACCACGCCUGGCCGCUUACCCCAUUGGUCCAGUCUCUCAAGGUUCACUAUACGGAUACCGAUACCGCUUGCCUCGUUGGGUUCCGCCCCUCAAGUCUCGUAGGCCACCCGCCUUACGUAUUCUCCCUCGGCGUGCCUCCAUUCAGCGUUCCUAUCGAGUCCCGCCUCCUUGGCCUUCGUGGGCGCCGCGCCCCACGAAUCCCCGCUCGGCACACUUGCCUUCGCGAGCCUUGUCCUUUACGGAGGACCGUCCGUCGCUAGACUAUCCCUCAUCCGCUCGUACGCUCCACUACAGAGAUCCAAGCCGGCAUAAGGUAGCGCAAGCGAUCCUAGGGAGGAAGCCUCCCGGUAUUCCCCGCUCCGUAAUGUCGUCGACCUCUCUCGUCUCCGACAUUACCCUAGGCCCGUGUCCCUUCAACCGUCCAUUAACCGGCUACACGGAACGCUAGGCUUGGCUACUCCGCUAGCCAAGGGACGACCCAUGUCCUAUGGGUCGACGGGGGAGUCGGGGCCACUUACGAAGUGUCCACCCCUCCUCUAAUACCCUUACGAGGCAUCCACUCCUUUGGCACCCCGGGGGUACGAAGGUGCUCACCGAGGGGUACGUUUUCCAACCCCGCAUGCGGCACCUAUUUCCAUGUCAUGGCACGGGCCAUUGCUAGGGAAUUGCCUCCGUUGACUUGACAGCGACUCCUACCUGACGGAACGCCUCAACUCCGCAACUCCAUAACUUCGUCAACCCAAGUGCCUACCAAAUAUGGCCCUCAAAGGUGUCACGGUCGAGACCCAACGAUCGACCCGUGACAGGCUCCCCCACUUGAAUCAUCGACGUCCUCGUCGAUGCUCUUCCACUUCUUCAAACUCUGUUGCUAGCAGUACCACUCUCCCAGACCAGAGCCACCCACGGCCUUGGCAUCGCAUGCCACGCUGACCUGCCAUCGAGUUCGUCUGCUCAACAACGCUUCUUCAAAGCCCAUUGGUCCUCCUCGACCAUCCAUCUCAUAUACAUGUUCUGUCCCUCCCUGAGUUAGAGCUCCCCAGCCUUGGUGCCUCGCUCGCACCACACUAACUCCUCCACGGAACCAGAACUUAAAACUCAUAAUCCCUCGGAUUGCAAGAUUGUACUGGCACUCUUCCUUAACUUGGUUCUCCCCAUCGGAGCUACUCGGCCUCAACGCCCACUUCGCCCUGACUUAACCAAAGUUCCACAAGUCCAGUAGCCAACCUUCUACCUCCUUAUCAAGGAAAUAGUCCUCCGACUAAACUUCCCCUCUCUGGAAUUCAAGGUCAUAUAUCCAUCGACCUUGGACUUAGGGGUUAGACUCCAAAUGUCCCUCGUCUCGGAGUUCUCCACGCGAAUCAGCACGCUGCUCGUCUUCGCUUUUGCCCCUUACCAUAACAUCAAGUUUCGUGCCUCUCCCUAGGCACCUACGACAGACACUACAACAAAAACGGCAUAUAGCGACACUUUUAAGUGUCGGUACAGGUCAGAAAAAGUGCUGCUGGCUAAAUUACCGACACUUUUAAAAAGUGUUGCUAUAUGUGGCGUCGCUAGGUAUAUAGUGAUACUUUUUAAGAGUGUCGGUAUAACUUAAAAAAAGUGCUACUAAUAUACCGACACUUAUUUAAGCUUUUAGCAGCACAUAAAAGUGAUGCAAAAUAAUAUUAUAGCAACACUUUUUUUAAAAUUUCAGCGACACUUUAUAAUUGUCCCAUUUUAAAAAAAAUAUCCUAUUUUUUCUUGAUGCAUCGCAGUUUUUAAAAUGUAAUACCACUCCAUAAUAAUUAUCAUCAAGCAUAUAAAAGAAGUUUUGUAGUCAUACUAACUAAUUAAUACCAAAAUGUCUCAAAGUACUAUUCAU